UACCUUUUGAUAUUGUAUAUCUCAACAAAUUUUUCGUAGUUAUAGUUAUUUUUCAGUAAUUUUGCUGUGGCCAUGUUUAAAAAAAAAAAAAAACAAUCUUCUCACUCAACACUGGUUCUUUUCGUAUAUUUAACUGUUUCCACUAUUUCUUGCCUGAGUGUUGUUUGUUGUUGUUGUUAAGACAAAUCAAAAAACACCUUUCUAACAAAUCUUACUAUCUUUGGGCUUACCCUGCCUCGGGGGCUAUUCUUCCAAUGGUUAUCGGAAAAAUAUUCUAAAAUUAAAAUCUAAUUAUUCCCCUGGUUAAAACCCAUUAAGACUUUUUACCAUCUUUAGGAUAAGGUAACGCCUACUUAGACUGACAUGAGAAACAUGUUGUGACCUGAACACCACCACUCCAAGCUCCUCCUUUGCCACUCUGCAGCACAGACAUCUACCAGGCAGCCCAGCCCUGUUCUCCGGCUACACCCAGAGGUUGCCAGAUCUGCACAGGGCUCCAGACCAUUGGCCUGAAGUACUCCAUCUUCCCUUUCUUGUCUUUCCAACUCAUCCUUUAGGAUUCAACUAUAGAAUAAUCUGCUCUAUAACUCUGUUUCAGAGCUUACUCCCUCACCUACAGAGUCAGGGACACCCCCUCCUCUCUAUGCCCCAGCCCAUACAUUCCUCCAUUCCUCCAACAAGGUGCUUGACAUGAGGUUUGUAAUUAAGAAUCUGUUUG
rnacentral:lncRNA from 1 species